GGGUUUCCCGAGCGCUCAUCUCCGCUCGCGAGCUCGCGACGCUUCUUCCUCCGCUCGCGACGCCACCGCCGCCGCCACAGCAUCCGGCCGCCCUCGCCUCGGCAUCCGUGCGUCACCGCGACAUCCCUCCACCUCGCUAGCCUCUCUUGUGCUUCCGACGUCGACGCAGGGGUCAGCUCGGGCGCUCCUCCACCGCCGCCGUCUCGGUCAUCGUCCGCCGUCUCGGUCCUCAUCCGCCGUCUUGUUCCUCGUUCGUCGUCGCGAUCUCCACCUCUACCGCCAUCGCCAUCCGUCUCGAAGUUCUAUCAGUGGAGGCAAUGUUGGUGGAGGCAAUAUUUGAAUUGAGAAGAAAAAGGCACCUGCAGUCAUUGUAUGCAGAGGUUUUGGUGGAACAAAUGCAUAUUUGAGACAAGUGAAGUGUGGUCAAAUUUUAUAAUGAUAGCUGAUAUUUCUGGCUUCCAUGUAGUUGUGCAAAGACUUGAUUUCAGUUUGAAACGCCUAUAUAUUUUUAUGUAAACAUACUUAUUCUUGAGAUUUUUCUAUCACUAUGAGAUGCUAGCAUUGAUAUGUAA